AAAAUUUUAGUUUAAAAUUAAAAAUAAUUCAUUUACAAGGAAGAGAUUGAUAAAUAUUAAAAUUUUA
rnacentral:tRNA from 1 species